AGAGAGAGACAUGCGCGCAUAUCAAUAAGCGGAGGAAAAGAAACUAACUAGGAUUCCCUCAGUAACGGCGAGUGAAGCGGGAAGAGCUCAAAUUUGAAAUCUUCAAGGUUCUACCUUGACGAAUUGUAGUUUAAAGAAGUGUUUUCUGUUGGAGUUUUGGUAAAAGUUCUUUGGAAUAGGACAUCAUAGAGGGUGAGAAUCCCGUAUUUGACCAUUAUUUCCAGCUUUGUGAUACACUUUCAAAGAGUCGGAUUGUUUGGGAAUGCAGUCCAAAAUGGGUGGUAAAUUUCAUCUAAAGCUAAAUAUUGGCGAGAGACCGAUAGCGAACAAGUACCGUGAGGGAAAGAUGAAAAGAACUUUGAAAAGAGAGUUAAACAGUACGUGAAAUUGUCAAAAGGGAAGCGUUUGACACCAGUGUUGUUUUUCUGAAAAUCAAUUAAAGAACUGUUUAUGCUAAGCUGUUUAGACUUUAUCAGCUAUCUGUUUAGUUUUGAGCUUUUCUUUAAUGCACUUUUCAGUUAACAAGUCAACAUCAAUUUCUUUUGCUGUAAAAAAGCUUGAGGAAGGUGGCUUGAGAUUCGUCUUAAGUGUUUAUAGCCUCUUGCCUAUGCAGUCGGAGAGAUUGAGGUCUGCAGCGUAGAUCCUUCGGGGCUAAAUGCAUUUGUGCUAAGUUAUAGCAUUUUAUAGACAACUUGUUGACUAUGAUUUGUCUUGUAGCUUACUCGCUUAUGUUAUUUUACCUACGCUUAGGAUGUUGAUGUGAUACUGCGAGCA
rnacentral:rRNA from 1 species